rnacentral:tRNA from 1 species
GCGUAAGCGGAAUUGGCAGACGCGCUAGCUUCAGGUGUUAGUGUGUUCUUACGGACGUGGGGUUCAAGUCCCCCUCGCACCA